GGCCACUGCUAUCGGGGUUCGAUUAAGCCAUGCGAGUCGAGAGGCAACUCGGCAUACUGCUCAGUAACACGUGGACAACCUACCCUAAGGAGGGGGAUAACCCCGGAAAACUGGGGAUAAUACCCCAUAGACUACAGAAUCUGGAAUGAUCUGUAAUUGAAAGGUCCGCCGCCUUAGGAUGGGUCUGCGGCAGAUUAGGUUGUUGUUGGGGUAACGGCCCAACAAGCCUGUAAUCUGUACGGGUUGUGGGAGCAAGAACCCGGAGAUGGAUUCUGAGACACGAAUCCAGGCCCUACGGGGCGCAGCAGGCGCGAAAACUUUACAAUGCGGGAAACCGUGAUAAGGGAACCCCGAGUGCCCGUAAAUCGGGCUGUUAACCUGUUUAAAAAGCAGGUGGAGAAAGGGCCGGGCAAGACCGGUGCCAGCCGCCGCGGUAAUACCGGCGGCUCGAGUGGUGGCCACUAUUACUGGGCUUAAAGCGUCCGUAGCUGGAUUGUUAAGUCUCUUGGGAAAUCUACCGGCUUAACCGCUAGGCGUUCAAGGGAUACUGGCAAUCUAGGGACCGGGAGAGGUGAGAGGUACUCCAGGGGUAGGAGUGAAAUCCUGUAAUCCUUGGGGGACCACCUGUG
rnacentral:rRNA from 1 species